rnacentral:lncRNA from 1 species
CCUCUCGCACCUGAAGCUACAUCACCGUCAGUCCUCCGCGCACCAGGAGGCGCUGUUCUCACUGCGCAGGCGUCAGGUACGACAUUAAGAGUUCCGGGUCUUUCCCUAAGACUCCUCUCUAGCCACCACGCUUACGUUUCUCUACUGCUCUCCACUGGAGUCUCUGGCGGGCACUUGGGGGCGGGCUGGGGGCUGGCCUUCCGGGAAAAUGGCUCACAGGAGAGGUCACAAGUAGAUAAAGUUGAAAGUUUCCAUAAAGGGACAUACGAGGAUCCUGAAAAGUCCUAGAGUGCUGAAGUCGGUGUUUUCUGAAGGUAUAAUAACAGAUGCUGUGGCUGGAUGACUUGUUUCCCUGUCCUCAUCUAGCCUACAAAUAGGUAAGCUGACUAUCAGUAAAUAACCUAUUAAAUCACAAAACUGUUCAUUGUCAAAAGGGCAUUACAGCACAGGAGUAAUCAUGUGAACAUCCAACAUAAAAGAUGCAAGGGGAAAGCAUGCAAAGGAACUGUGCAUCCCCUCCAA